UACGGGGGGGGUAAGCGUUGUUCGGAAUUACUGGGCGUAAAGGGCUCGUAGGCGGCCAACUAAGUCAUACGUGAAAUCCCUCAGCUUAACUGGGGAACUGCGUGUGAUACUGGAUGGCUUGGAUUUGGGAGAGGGAUGCGGAAUUCCAGGUGUAGCGGUGAAAUGCGUAGAUAUCUGGAGGAACACCGGUGGCGAAGGCGGCAUCCUGGACCAGUAUUGGACGCUGAGGAGCGAAAGCCAGGGGAGCAAAGCGGG
rnacentral:rRNA from 1 species